rnacentral:lncRNA from 1 species
GUUUUGUACCUCAUAUGUUCACAGGGUGGUGCCCAGUGCCCAGUGCCCAGCACAGUGUCUGACUCACUAGUAACCAGAUAAAGACUUACAGGAACCCUGCAACCUGAUAACUCAACACUGGUACAUGAAACCAGGAAAACAAUCCAGAAAGGCAGACAAGACUCCCAUUUUGAGAUGUCUUAGGAUCCAGAGUUACACUGUUCAGUACAAUUGUCACUAGCCACAAGAGACCAUUCAAAUUUAAAUUCACUAAAUUAAGAAGAAUGGUAGAAUCUGUUUUUCAACGAUGUCAGUCUUAUUGCCAGUGCUCAGUGGUCACACUGGUUGUAGCUUUCUAGUUCCCAUCAUCAAAGCUAGUUCCAAAGGGAGAGGUUUUUGUUUCUGAUAAUUAUGGUGAGCUUUAUCUAUUCCUAUACCCUUGUGAGAGCACUGGGAUUCACUGUUUCUGUAACAGUGACUUGGAACUCAUAUAGCUUGGUCAAUGACAAGUCUGGUAUUGAAUCCAAUUACUCUGAUGCCACAGAUUGUUGUGGAUUAAUGGGAUGUGGACAUACUACGGAUUUCCUUACAACGUACCAGGGUAGGAAACAAACAACCAAAACAUCAAAGUUCUCUUUUGGCUUCCUGUGUGAAUACAGUCAAUUAUGAAGACAGAAUGGAAGCACCAGUGUGGUAAGUAUCUAUCUUUUUUCUCCUACCUAAAACCCUUUUCCUUUGGGCACGUAUUUCUUGCUGUGUGGGGCUUGGUGAAAUGUGGAGCUUAAUUCCUUUUUGGAAGCUGAAAAAGUAAGAUGACUAUUUUUCCUCCUUUAUCUUGCAGCUGGGAGAUGGGUUUAUGAGUAGCCUUGACUAAUCCAAUAAGUCAUCAAAGGGAAUUUUAGAGACACAGAGGGGUGGGACAGCCAAUCCUGUCCCUUAGGCCACUGAUAUUUCUACUGCAGUGGCAUCUUGCUUUGCCAGGUGGUGGCUACACCCUAUGAGCCUGGCUUCAGGUGUGCAGAAGUGACCCCUUAUAAAGUAGAGGAGAGGCUGGCUUGCUCUCUUGGCUUGUGGUAAGAUCAUCGGAAGGGCAGAGACUGCAUCUUCUGUAGCAGGAAGACCUCAGCGGUUAUUUAUUAUCAUUUGUGUAAGAGCUUCC